GACACGAUUUGACUUCCUCGCAUUCGAAUAAUAGCAGAGGUGAAGGAACCACCCCUCCCCUGUUCCCUCUCAGCAUCUCGUUGGCCGAUGCUCAGUCUCUCGAGCUCUCACCUACAGGAGUUGGAGUUGGAUUUGGUGGCGUUACCAUUCACUCUUGGCCGCGAAGUCGUAUUUUCUUGGUUUCAGGUAACAUCAUUUUUUUGCAACGACAGGCAUCAAGUUCUUCGGCCUGACUAGUCCUAGAGGCUUAUAUUGACCCCACAACAGCAUGGGCCGGGUCAUAUUGGGGUUGAAUGAGAACCAUUCAAUUUUCAUUAAAAGCAGUGAAGAGCACUAAACACCCCGUAUGAGUGGCCCCAUGGAGGUAAUAAACAGAAGGAGAAGAAACAAGGCCAAGAGAUCACCUCAAUUGGGGAUCAAAGCCAAACCUCCCCCAUCAAAGACAUGCCCUAGGAGUGGGAGAAAGAACAACAUAAAGCAAAAAAGAUACAGAAGCCAAGAAGGAAAUACAGCAGGCUCCCAACAGCAAAGCACAACUAAUACAAAAUCCAAGAGGCCUGAACUCCUCAUUUCUGGACCAAGAAACGGUUUCUUCCAGAUCUCUUACCCUUGAAUGUUAAUCCAAGAGGUUUUGAACUUGCUAGAUAUGCAAGCCUAAAAUACGUAUGGAAUAGUAAAGCUUUCUACUACUAAAAUACAGUUGUGCUACCAUUAUCUUGUAAAGAUUUCUACUACCAUUAUCUUGUCAGAAAUUAGUGGAUUUUAAGAAUCAAACAAUUUGGUGAAUAGUGUAAAUCAGAUAAAAGAUUGUUCAUAAUCAUACCCAUUCGAGAAGAUAAAUCUUUUCUGCAUUCAAGCUUGUGUCAGUAUUAGGCCUUCCACUGAUGAUCUCAAGAGCUACUACUCCAAAUCCAAAAACAUCUGCUUUCUCAGUCAGGUGCCCACGCAUGGCAUACUCUGGUGCAAGAUAGCCACUUCAACAAAACAAAAUUUUAGAUCCCAUAAAUUCAGAAUCUGUUAAGGUAUCCAAGAAAAGUACUGAAAAUCAAGUGCUGGAGAACAUUACAUUGUUCCUGCAACUCGAGUGCUUAUGUGGGUCUUCUUGUCAUCAUAAAGUUUGGCCAAACCAAAAUCUGAAAUUUUGGGGUCGAGUUCAGCAUCAAGUAGAAUGUUACUAGCCUUGACAUCUCUAUGUACAAUUCUAGGCUUCGACUCCUCAUGAAGAUAGGCUAGACCACGUGCUGUCCCCAAACAGAUAUCAUAGCGCUUUGGCCAAUUAAGAUGUAA